rnacentral:rRNA from 1 species
UACAAAGGAAUUGACGGGACCGCACAAGCGUGGAUGAUGUGGUUUAAUUCGAUGCAACGCGAAAACCUUACCACCUUUGACAUGUACGGAAGUUGCCAGAGAUGGCUUCGUGCUCGAAAGAGAGCCGUAACACAGGUGCUGCAUGGCUGUCGUCAGCUCGUGUCGUGAGAUGUUGGGUUAAAGUCCCCGCAACCGAGCGCAACCCUUGUCAUUAGUUGCUACAUUUGGUUGGGCACUCUAAUGAGACUGCCGGUGACAAACCGGAGGAAGGUGGGGAUGACGUCAAGUCCUCAUGGCCCUUAUAGGUGGGGCUACACACGUCAUACAAUGGCCGGUACAAAGGGUCGCAAACCCGCGAGGGGGAGCCAAUCCAUCAAAGCCGGUCGUAGUCCGGAUCGCAGUCUGCAACUCGACUGCGUGAAGUCGGAAUCGCUAGUAAUCGUGGAUCAGCAUGUCACGGUGAAUACGUUCCCGGGUCUU